rnacentral:lncRNA from 1 species
UGGAAAUGGAUUGUAUUUGGGUUCAAAUUUUUGACCCCAUACAAAUUAAUAUCUAUUGGAUUUCAAAUAUGUUAAUCCCUAUUCUAGCUGACCUACUCACAUCCCUAAUUUCAACCUUCUACUAGAUCUCAGUCAUAGAAAAAUUCUAUGUAAGAGGGUUUUUAGUGUAAGGUGAAUGAGUAUUGUAUAAAAAGAGCUAACCAAGUCGGUCCAAAAGAUAUAAGUGCAAAAGAUCGUGC